rnacentral:lncRNA from 1 species
GCAGGGUGUGCCUGCCAUGCAGGGUUGCCAUGUGAGCCGCCAAAGGAAUUAGAGGUCCAGACCCUUCUCCACCUCCGAGAUGGCCCCGCUUCCCACUGAGAAGUCGCCUUAUUGUGGACACUCCUCCUCCGUUGCCUAAGAGUGUGCAUUGGCUCCAAUGUCGGUAUUUCACAGCACUGACUUAUUUCCCGUUGUAAUUUGGGGUGCAGUCCAGCAGCGUCUGAGGGUAGACACCAAGGCCACAGCUCAACAUUCUGUAGUGAAUGGGUAGUCACCCCAAUCCACGAAUGCUCCAGCUUGUGAACAGAGCCCAGGCUGAGGAAGGCUGGGUUGCAGGGAAGAAAGAAGUCAGCACCAACCCCCAGGAGCUCCAACUCGUGGAGCUUUCUUAUGGGAUACAUCCUGAAACUGUGUUCUAGCUCCCUCUGGAUUAGGAACUGGGUGCAAUGCAGACUCUAAAUUUCUGUAAC